AGUAACACGUGGGUAAUCUGCCCUUGAGUUUGGGAUAACCCCGCGAAAGCGGGGCUAAUACCGAAUAAGACCACGGGGACCAAAGUCCCUGAGGUAAAAGGUGGCCUCUAUUUAUAAGCUACCACUUGAGGAUGAGCCCGCGGCCCAUUAGCUAGUUGGCAGGGUAACGGCCUACCAAGGCGAUGAUGGGUAGCUGGUCUGAGAGGACGAUCAGCCACACUGGAACUGAGACACGGUCCAG
rnacentral:rRNA from 1 species